rnacentral:rRNA from 1 species
UACAUGGGGUGCAAACGUUGCUCGGAAUUAUUGGGCGUAAAGCGCACGUAGGCGGUUCGUUAAGUCGGAUGUGAAAGCCCUCGGCUCGACUGAGGAAGUGCACCCGAAACUGGCGAGCUUGAGUACGAAAGAGGAUCGCGGAAUUCCCGGUGUAGAGGUGAAAUUCGUAGAUAUCGGGAGGAACACCGGUGGCGAAGGCGGCCACCUGGACGGUCACUGACGCUGAGACGCGAAAGCGUGGGGAGCAAACAGG